rnacentral:tRNA from 1 species
AGCAAUGUGAUGUAAAAGGAAACAUAGUAGGCUCAUGUCCUGCAGAUAUUAGUUCGAGUCUAGUCAUUGCAU